rnacentral:rRNA from 1 species
CAAUAAGCGGAGGAAAAGAAACCAACAGGGAUUGCCCCAGUAACGGCGAGUGAAGCGGCAACAGCUCAAAUUUGAAAUCUGGCCCCCCGGCCCGAGUUGUAAUUUGGAGAGGAUGCUUUUGGCGCGGCGCCGUCCGAGUUCCUUGGAACAGGACGCCACAGAGGGUGAGAGCCCCGUACGGACGGACGCCUAGCCUCUACCAAAGCUCCUUCGACGAGUCGAGUAGUUUGGGAAUGCUGCUCAAAAUGGGAGGUAAAUUUCUUCUAAAGCUAAAUACCGGCCAGAGACCGAUAGCGCACAAGUAGAGUGAUCGAAAGAUGAAAAGCACUUUGAAAAGAGGGUUAAAAAGUACGUGAAAUUGUUGAAAGGGAAGCGCCUGUGACCAGACUUGCGCCCCGUGGACCAUCCGGCGUUCUCGCCGGUGCACUCUGCGGGGCGCAGGCCAGCAUCGGUUCUCCUAGGGGGAUAAAGGCCGCGGGAACGUAGCUCCUUCGGGAGUGUUAUAGCCCGUGGUGGCAUGCCCCUGGGGGGACCGAGG